UCUCCAAUUUUACUGAGGUGGCUGACCACGUCCACGACCAAAUCCGCCUCUAAACUGGAAUUCGGUUGCUGACCCAGCCCCAGCCUCAGCUUUCUUGUUGGCACCAGGGGGCACAGCACUCCGUCGGAAGUAUGCCGCUUAAGGAUGGAAACCUUUGUUUCGCUCAUCUAAUACAAUUCCAAAUUGAAGGCAGACGUUGAGCAUCCCUAAUCAAAAAACAUGAAAUCCAAAAUGCUCCAUAAUCUGAAACAUUGAGCGCUGCCAUGACACCCAAGUGGAAAAUUCCACACCCGACACCUUUGCUUUCUGAGGGUUCAAUGUACACAAACUUUGUUUCAUGCAUAUUAUUAAAAUAAUUACCUGCAA
rnacentral:lncRNA from 1 species